AAUAUUGGUCAAUGGGGGCAACCCUGAUCCAGCCAUGCCGCGUGUGUGACGAAGGUCUUCGGCUAGUAAAGCACUUGAAGUUGGGAGGAAUGUCUUUAGGCUAAUCCCCUGACGUUUUGACGUUACCUACCGAAUAAGCACCUGCUAACUAUGUGCCAGCAGCCGCGGUAAUACAGAUGUUGCAAGCGUUAUUCGGCAUUACUGGGCGUAAAGCGCGCGUAGGUGGUUCAGUAAGAUGGGUGUGAAAUCCCCGGGCUUAACCUGGGAACUGCUUUCAUAACUGCUGAGCUAGAGGACGGUAGAGGGUAGUGGAAUUUCCUGUGUAGCGGUGAAAUGCGUAGAUAUAGGAAGGAACACCAGUGGCGAAGGCGACUACCUGGACUGAUACUGACACUGAGGUGCGAAAGCGUGGGGAGCAAACAG
rnacentral:rRNA from 1 species